rnacentral:rRNA from 1 species
UACGUAGGUGACAAGCGUUGUCCGGAUUUACUGGGCGUAAAGAGCGCGCAGGCGGUCGUUCAAGUCGAGUGUGAAAGCCCCCGGCUCAACUGGGGAGGGUCAUUCGAUACUGAUCGACUCGAAGGCAGGAGAGGGAAGUGGAAUUCCCGGUGUAGUGGUGAAAUGCGUAGAUAUCGGGAGGAACACCAGUGGCGAAGGCGACUUCCUGGCCUGUUCUUGACGCUGAGGCGCGAAAGCUAGGGGAGCAAUCGGG